UACGUAGGGCGCAAACGUUGUCCGGAAUUAUUGGGCGUAAAGAGCGUGUAGGCGGUUCGGUAAGUCGGCUGUGAAAGUCCAGGGCUCAACCCUGGGAUGCCGGUCGAUACUGCCGGACUAGAGUUCGGAAGAGGCGAGUGGAAUUCCCGGUGUAGCGGUGAAAUGCGCAGAUAUCGGGAGGAACACCUAUGGCGAAGGCAGCUCGCUGGGACGUUACUGACGCUGAGACGCGAAAGCGUGGGGAGCAAACAGG
rnacentral:rRNA from 1 species